GGCCAGACUCCUACGGGAGGCAGCAGUGAGGAAUAUUGGUCAAUGGCCGAGAGGCUGAACCAGCCAAGUCGCGUGAGGGAAGACGGCCCUACGGGUUGUAAACCUCUUUUGUCGGGGAGCAAAGAGAGUCACGUGUGACUCAUUGAGAGUACCCGAAGAAAAAGCAUCGGCUAACUCCGUGCCAGCAGCCGCGGUAAUACGGAGGAUGCGAGCGUUCUCCGUUUUUAUUGGGUUUAAAGGGGGCGCAGGCGGAUUUUGAAGUCAGCGGUAAAAUCGGGGGCCACAACCCCAUCCGGCCGUUGAAACGGGGGAUCUAGAGUGUGCGAGAGGUAUGCGGAAUGCGUGGUGUAGCGGUGAAAUGCAUAGAUAUCACGCAGAACCCCGAUUGCGAAGGCAGCAUACCGGUGCACAACUGACGCUCAGGCACGAAAGCGUGGGUAUCGAACAGGAUUAGAUACCCGAGUA
rnacentral:rRNA from 1 species